AUUGAACGCUGGCGGAAUGCUUUACACAUGCAAGUCGAACGGCAGCACGGACUUCGGUCUGGUGGCGAGUGGCGAACGGGUGAGUAAUGUAUCGGAACGUGCCCAGUCGUGGGGGAUAACGUAGAGAAAAUUACGCCAAUACCGCAUACGAUCUAUGGAUGAAAGCGGGGGAUCGCAAGACCUCGCGCGAUUGGAGCGGCCGAUAUCAGAUUAGGUAGUUGGUGGGGUAAAGGCCCACCAAGCCAACGAUCUGUAGCUGGUCUGAGAGGACGACCAGCCACACUGGAACUGAGACACGGUCCAGACUCCUACGGGAGGCAGCAGGGGGGAAUUUUGGACAAUGGGCGAAAGCCUGAUCCAGCCAUUCCGCGUGCAGGAUGAAGGCCCUCGGGUUGUAAACUGCUUUUGUACAGAACGAAAAGGUUUCUACUAAUACUAGGAGCUCAUGACGGUACUGUAAGAAUAAGCACCGGCUAACUACGUGCCAGCAGCCGCCGUAA
rnacentral:rRNA from 1 species